GACAGCAGUCGCCACGGGAAUACAGAGGGUGCGAGCGUUAAUCGGAUUUACUGGGCGUAAAGCGUGCGUAGGCGGCUUCUUAAGUCGGAUGUGAAAUCCCUGAGCUUAACUUAGGAAUUGCAUUCGAUACUGGGAAGCUAGAGUAUGGGAGAGGAUGGUAGAAUUCCAGGUGUAGCGGUGAAAUGCGUAGAGAUCUGGAGGAAUACCGAUGGCGAAGGCAGCCAUCUGGCCUAAUACUGACGCUGAGGUACGAAAGCAUGGGGAGCAAACAGGAUUAGAUACCCCCGUAGUCCCUGUCUCUUAUAC
rnacentral:rRNA from 1 species